AGCCGGUGGCUUGCUCUAAUUCAGCGUAAUAACGCUGAACAGGACAGCAACAUUCGAGUAUGUAGCCUGCACUUCAGUCAGGACGACUACGAAUCUCCGCCAAGCAUCGUGAAAUCUAUCGGCGUCAAUUUCCGGGUCUUCCUCAAGCGUGGUGUCACCCCGUCACAGAAUCUGCCAGGCAGCAGCGAGUCGAGGAAAAGACAGAGAUUGGACGCCGGCGAUGUACCACUUGCUGCUGAUGAAACUAUAGGCGCGAGGACGGUGAGUUGGGUGCCCGUAUCGUUGCUUUUUCACUGCAGUGACGCAUAUAUAUUACUCUAGAUUGAGCCAGUUGUCGGCCAACGGGGGUUGGCAGAUCAAGGUCGGACAGUUUGCCGUACAGACGUGGCGCAUCCUACGGUACCCGUUGCUGAACGCGAUGUCCUUUUGGUGACUUUGACUGACCCCACAGACACUAUAUCUUAACUGCAAAUCACUGGCAGCAACGACAGCAACUGCAGUGCAGCGAAUGAAACAGGAUAUGACAGCUACACAGAUGAAGGCACAGAUAUUCCACACGAUCCUCAACCGUCACAGAAGAGCGUUGGUACACAGGCACAAGGUCCUGUGAAGGUGACCAGAGGUGUACAGACAUGCAGGCAAAAG